UAUUGAUUAUCUAUAACCUUUUAAAAAGUGGGAAUGAAAAUUAUUGUAGCUUAUCUACAGUAAAUUAAAACGCAUUGUUUCCUUUUCCCAUGUCAUUUGCACUUCUCUGGUAUCCUGAGUCUUAACUCUCUUCCCUUGAAUAUCUCAUUUUUCUUCCGCCAUGGCUGGAGAGUGGUGACAGCCAGCAAGCAACCGUCGUUUUCACAUCGUCAAUAACUCAUCUUGAAUUUCUCUCUCCUCCCAAACGACGAAUUUGUAAAAUCUUUCUUCUGGGAUGAUCAACUUUGUUGGGUACCAUUACACUCAGCUCAUAGGCUGUUGAUUGAUUCUUCCUUCUUACUAAUUUCAAUUCCAGUAGAUCCAACAAGAAACUUUGCCUUAAAAUCUGCAAAGUAAUUUCGAAAAUUGAUUAUGGGAUGGAAUAAACGAAACCACUCUCGACAAGGAGGCUACAUUGUCAGACUUAUGAUAGCAUAAAACAAUAAAUGAUGUACUUUGUAUAUUGUAAUUGAACACUUCAGUGUAUGCAAUAUCAAUUAAAAACAGAGCAUGAAUUUAACAUUAGCCAUAUAAUGACAAGUUCUUCUUGUAAAUGUACUGUAAAUUGUAGGGAUUUACCUUCAUAGAAGAGCCUAUACAGAAAUUCUUGAUGGCCCAGGUCAAGGCCAGGCCAAGGAGGGGGUUUCAUAAUAGUUUUUAACAAUAAUCGACACACCUGAGGAUCGUUUAUUACCUUGCAUAGGAAUUAGAAAAAAACAAUAGACCUUAUAAGUGAAACAUUCGCAAUGUAAAGUAAGGCUUGAACUGCAAAAUGGAUCGUUGAAAGCCAAUUCCCCUGCAAGUUGAAUUUUAGGCAAUGUCUUGCAGAAUUCUUUAAAACAACAGACAUCCCACUAAAUCAUCAGAAGCCUCACUUAAUCAACUGGUGCAAGGCUACGGAGUUCAGUUCUUGAAUUGCCCUCUUGGGAAUUUGAUUGAGAUAGCUUCCCAGUUUUUUAUGUUGUUUGGUUUUAUUGUUUUGAUGUUCUUGCUGCAAAGUCCUUGUGAAUGUUAAGUUUGUAAAUUCAAAGUUAUAUAUUUUCUUUUUGGUUGUUUUGUUAACAUGGUUGGCUUGAAAAUUACUCCGUGAUUUGUUAUUUGAGCUGGAAGGGAAAGUGAAGUUUUUGUCAGUGUUUUUUUUGUUGUUGUUAUUUUUAAUCUGUCUUGUGCUAAUUUUCUGAUUUUAUGAUUUUUUUUAUAGAUUUUAAGUGAACUAGAUUAUGACAGUAACUAUAUCAACCUUUUGUCAAGUAGAUGUGACAUGUAUAUUGCAUUUCCUACUAUUAAGGAGCUAUAUUUAAUGACAUUGAUUGGAGUUCAGGUAUGGUUUACUAAUUCAGAUCUUUUAAUUAGUUCCUUGAGAGUUGAGACAUUAAAAAUAGAGAAAAGGUAUCAUCCCUUGAAAUAAUUAUAUGAUUAGUUUAUUUCCACAACUAUUUCUUCUUUAUAUGGUUCAUUACAUGAAAAUAAUGAUGGUACUAACGGACUAUUAUACACAUACAUGUUCAUCAUAUCUAUCUCAACCGACAUUGUCCGCAUGUGAUUUUUCAUGAUAAAGCGUGCAAUAGGUUCGACGAGUACUUUGCAAGUUAGAAAAGGUAUAUUGGAGCAACUCUUCUAUAACGGAACCGAAUAGGUAGGAUAGUCUAAAUUAUAGGUUCUCUAAUGGAAGCUAUCUAGCGUAAGAAAUUUAACGAGAAUGUUCACGGAAGCACAAAAGACUUGUUGCAAACCUAUCCAUUAUAAGGUGUUAUAUUGCACAUUUGUACUUGCUUCACCAUGUGCUCUGUUUCAAAUUAAUAUGAAAUCUUAGUGCUACCAAAGGCGAGUAUAGCACUGGUUGUUAUUUUGGCAAAAGAUGAACACGUUGGAGAGUACAAAUCCUAUGCUUUUGUAUCUAUCGAUCUAUCUUUGUACAAAAUAUGUGAUUGUUUUACCUUAUCACUCGAGUGUCCAUUUUGGAUAAUAACUUUCUAAAACAAAACUACUUAUCAUUAAUACGUAGGCGCAUAGAGUUGCUAGAGCAAGAUUGAUGCCAAUCUGCCGCUCCAAGACAUGCCGCGCGCAACGCGCGCGUCCGGCCUACUAGUUUUCUGUAAAAAAUUUAGAGUAUGAUAGAAACAAGAAAGGGGUAAGUUAUCUAUAUCUAUCUAUAUAUAUUAUUAAA